rnacentral:rRNA from 1 species
GACGAACGCUGGCGGCGUGCUUAACACAUGCAAGUCGAACGAUGAUGCUGGAGCUUGCUCCAGUUGAUUAGUGGCGAACGGGUGAGUAACACGUGAGCAAUCUGCCCUUGACUCUGGGAUAACUGCGGGAAACUGUAGCUAAUACCGGAUACUUUCACCGGAAGGCAUCUUCUGGUGAUGAAAGAAUUUCGGUCAGGGAUGAGCUCGCGGCCUAUCAGCUUGUUGGUGAGGUAACGGCUCACCAAGGCGACGACGGGCAACCGGCCUGAGAGGGUGACCGGUCACACUGGGACUGGGACACGGCCCAGACUCCUACGGGAGGCAGCAGUGGGGAAUAUUGCACAAUGGGCGCAAGCCUGAUGCAGCAACGCCGCGUGAGGGAUGAAGGCCUUCGGGUUGUAAACCUCUUUUAGUAGGGAAGAAGCGAAAGUGACGGUACCUGCAGAAAAAGCACCGGCUAACUACGUGCCAGCAGCCGCCGUAA